rnacentral:rRNA from 1 species
GACGAACGCUGGCGGCGUGCUUAACACAUGCAAGUCGAACGGUGAAGGGGCCUGCUUUUGUGGGCCCUGGAUGAGUGGCGAACGGGUGAGUAACACGUGAGUAACCUGCCCCCUUCUUCUGGAUAACCGCAUGAAAGUGUGGCUAAUACGGGAUAUUCUGGGUCUGUCGCAUGAUGGGUCUGGGAAAGAUUGCGCCUUUGGGUGUUUUUGGUGGGGGAUGGGCUCGCGGCCUAUCAGCUUGUUGGUGGGGUGAUGGCCUACCAAGGCGGUGACGGGUAGCCGGGCUGAGAGGGUGGACGGUCACACUGGGACUGAGACACGGACCAGAAUCCUACGGGAGGGAGCAGUGGGGAAUAUUGCACAAUGGGGGCAAGCCUGAUGCAGCGACGCCGCGUGAGGGAUGGAGGCCUUCGGGUUGUAAACCUCUUUCGCAAGUGAAGCAGGGCUGCUACCUGUGGGUGGGUUGACGGUAGCUGGAUAAGAAGCGCCGGCUAACUACGUG